rnacentral:rRNA from 1 species
GUCUUUUUGAUAAUAAUUUAAAGUCUGACCUGCCCACUGAAUUUUUGAAUGGCCGCGGUAUUUUGACCGUGCGAAGGUAGCAUAAUAAUUAGUUUUUUAAUUGAAAGCUGGAAUGAAAGGUUGAACGAGGAAAAAGCUGUCUCAAUUUAAAUUUAUUAGAAUUUUAUUUUUAAGUAAAAAAGCUUAAAUAAAUUUUAAAGACGAGAAGACCCUAUAGAGUUUCAUAUUUUUGUUUAUUUUAAAUUUUAAGGAUUUUAUUUUUAAAAUAAGUUAAGAUAUUUUAUUGGGGUGAUAAAAAAAUUUGAUAAACUUUUUUUUUAUUUUAACAUUUGUAUAUGAGCAUAUGAUCCAAAAAUUUUGAUUAUAAGAUUAAAUUACCUUAGGGAUAACAGCGUAAUUUUUUUUAAGAGUUCUAAUCGAAAAAAAAGAUUGCGACCUCGAUGUUGGAUUAAAAUUAAGUUUUGGUGUAGUAGCUAAAAAUUUUAGGUCUGUUCGACCUUUAAAAUUUUACAUGAUCUGAGUUUAAACCGGUGUGAGCCAGGUUGGUUUCUAUCUUUAAACAUUUUUAAUAUUUUAGUACGAAAGGACCAUAUAUUAGUAAAAUUUAUUUAAUUAAAGAAUAU